rnacentral:lncRNA from 1 species
UGUGGUUCCUGUACCAUUAAGUCUGAGUGUCUGGUGGACAUAAUUUUUAUUCAGUGGGGAAAACGGUGAAUUAUUCAAUUCACGUAAUUAACUUUACACAUACUGUCUAAAUCCUUCCAUGUCAAGUCUGUCAUAGCCUGUCCCAGUUUCCCGUGUUAAUUCAGGUUGUCGAUAUAAGAUAUUAGCUUAAGGUGUUGGCGUGUAGUUAGGCUACUUUUCGGCGCGAAGCUACUUCAGUAAGUUAACAAACCGGGAUAUUUUCAGGCUACUUUUCGGCGCGAAGCUACCUCAUGUGCUGCUUUAUACGCUGGAGUGACGGGGAUAGCUGGGUUCCUGGAAGGCAGUAGCUCGGUUACGACAUGCUGAAGACCACUCGACCGUCGGGGCUCGUUACGUCACCUGAGCACGAGAACCAUUAAUCUGACGGUUAACACGUGGUACACACAGUGGUGGAUUUGCUUACUGUCAAAGGAAAGACAUGCAGAGGGACAGACGGAUGGACAGAUGGUGGGAUAAAGGUUCAAGAAAUGUACAGGUUAAGCAGACCCACACACGGUGCCAAAACAAAAUGGAGGGUUCGCAUACCUUAAUAUUCCG